CCUCCUAGGGGGGCAGCAGUGAGGAAUAUUGGUCAAUGGCCGAGAGGCUGAACCAGCCAAGUCGCGUGAGGGAUGACGGCCCUACGGGUUGUAAACCUCUUUUGUCGGGGAGCAAAGAGAGUCACGUGUGACUCAUUGAGAGUACCCGAAGAAAAAGCAUCGGCUAACUCCGUGCCAGCAGCCGCGGUAAUACGGAGGAUGCGAGCGUUAUCCGGAUUUAUUGGGUUUAAAGGGUGCGUAGGCGGGACCUUAAGUCAGCGGCAAAAUUGCGGUGCUCAACGCCGUAGAGCCGUUGAAACUGGGGG
rnacentral:rRNA from 1 species